AUCCAAAGUUGGUGGGAUUUCCGGAUAGCUUCAAAUCCGCUGCGUCCUCUCUCGAAUAUGUUGGCAUUAAUGAUUGCAAAGGAUUGGAGAAGCUGCCAAGUUUCAUCCAAGAUUUCACCUCUCUUAAGAAAAUUGUGAUUCGUGAUUGCCCAGCACUGAGCAUGAGAUGCGCAGUGGGUUCUGGUGAGGAUUACCAUCUCACCCGUCAUGUCCCUGUCGUAAAACAUUAUCAAGGGAAAACUCUCAUACAGCAUUGAUGGCGGAUUCUCGCCUAAAGAAAAGAAAUCAACUGCAUGUGACUUCAGUUUGGAGCUUUGGCAAGCGCAUCGAUCUGGAGUGGUGAUUGGAGAAACGAAGUCACAGAUUACCUACUCCGCGAGCUCUCAGCCGAGCAUAUAUAUAAACUCCAUCCCUCCCUGGCUCCCUGCCGAAUCAUCAUCUAUGGCAACAUUCGUGGCCAUCAUCCAUUGUUCAUUCUGUUUUCUGGUCCAUGUGUGCUCUGCUCUUUAAUUUCCGGACAUUACUCCACUAUUUAUAUGUCUGAUGCUGUGGCUUUUGCUUCCGUGUGUAAUACUGGUAACUUAUUUUUUGCUACUCGGCAAUAUAAUAAGCUGGAUAUGAUUGUCGUGCUUGA